rnacentral:rRNA from 1 species
UACAGAGGUCCCGAGCGUUGUUCGGAUUUAUUGGGCGUAAAGGGGGCGUAGGCGGCGGAGUAAGUUGGGUGUGAAAUCCCGAGGCUCAACCUCGGAAUUGCAUUCAAUACUGCUUCGCUCGAGUACUGGAGAGGAGGCUGGAAUUUACGGUGUAGCAGUGAAAUGCGUAGAUAUCGUAAGGAAGGCCGGUGGCGAAAGCGAGCCUCUGGACAGUUACUGACGCUGAUGCACGAAGGCCAGGGGAGCAAACGGG